rnacentral:rRNA from 1 species
AUUGAACGCUGGCGGCAGGCUUAACACAUGCAAGUCGAGCGGGGGAAGGUAGCUUGCUACCGGACCUAGCGGCGGACGGGUGAGUAAUGCUUAGGAAUCUGCCUAUUAGUGGGGGACAACAUCUCGAAAGGGAUGCUAAUACCGCAUACGUCCUACGGGAGAAAGCAGGGGAUCUUCGGACCUUGCGCUAAUAGAUGAGCCUAAGUCGGAUUAGCUAGUUGGUGGGGUAAAGGCUUACCAAGGCGACGAUCUGUAGCGGGUCUGAGAGGAUGAUCCGCCACACUGGGACUGGGACACGGCCCAGACUCCUACGGGAGGCAGCAGUGGGGAAUAUUGGACAAUGGGGGGAACCCUGAUCCAGCCAUGCCGCGUGUGUGAAGAAGGCCUUAUGGUUGUAAAGCACUUUAAGCGAGGAGGAGGCUACUUUAGUUAAUACCUAGAGAUAGUGGACGUUACUCGCAGAAUAAGCACCGGCUAACUCUGUGCCAGCCGCCGCGGUAA